AACCCUUAGCAGUGGAUCACUUGUGUGUUGAUGAAGAACACAGCUAGCUGCGAGAAUUAAUGUGAAUUGCAGGACACGUUGAUCAUCAACACUUUGAAUGCACUUGUGGCCCCAGGUUCCUCCCUGGGGUACACUGGUCUGAGCAUCG
ensembl:rRNA 5_8S_rRNA 5.8S ribosomal RNA